rnacentral:rRNA from 1 species
GGGUUGUGAGGUUAAGCGACUAAGCGUACACGGUGGAUGCCCUGGCAGUCAGAGGCGAUGAAGGACGUGCUAAUCUGCGAUAAGCGUCGGUAAGGUGAUAUGAACCGUUAUAACCGGCGAUUUCCGAAUGGGGAAACCCAGUGUGUUUCGACACACUAUCAUUAACUGAAUCCAUAGGUUAAUGAGGCGAACCGGGGGAACUGAAACAUCUAAGUACCCCGAGGAAAAGAAAUCAACCGAGAUUCCCCCAGUAGCGGCGAGCGAACGGGGAGCAGCCCAGAGCCUGAAUCAGUGUGUGUGUUAGUGGAAGCGUCUGGAAAGGCGCGCGAUACAGGGUGACAGCCCCGUACACAAAAAUGCACAUACUGUGAGCUCGAUGAGUAGGGCGGGACACGUGGUAUCCUGUCUGAAUAUGGGGGGACCAUCCUCCAAGGCUAAAUACUCCUGACUGACCGAUAGUGAACCAGUACCGUGAGGGAAAGGCGAAAAGAACCCCGGCGAGGGGAGUGAAAAAGAACCUGAAACCGUGUACGUACAAGCAGUGGGAGCACGCUUAGGCGUGUGACUGCGUACCUUUUGUAUAAUGGGUCAGCGACUUAUAUUCUGUAGCAAGGUUAACCGAAUAGGGGAGCCGAAGGGAAACCGAGUCUUAACUGGGCGUUAAGUUGCAGGGUAUAGACCCGAAACCCGGUGAUCUAGCCAUGGGCAGGUUGAAGGUUGGGUAACACUAACUGGAGGACCGAACCGACUAAUGUUGAAAAAUUAGCGGAUGACUUGUGGCUGGGGGUGAAAGGCCAAUCAAACCGGGAGAUAGCUGGUUCUCCCCGAAAGCUAUUUAGGUAGCGCCUCGUGAAUUCAUCUCCGGGGGUAGAGCACUGUUUCGGCAAGGGGGUCAUCCCGACUUACCAACCCGAUGCAAACUGCGAAUACCGGAGAAUGUUAUCACGGGAGACACACGGCGGGUGCUAACGUCCGUCGUGAAGAGGGAAACAACCCAGACCGCCAGCUAAGGUCCCAAAGUCAUGGUUAAGUGGGAAACGAUGUGGGAAGGCCCAGACAGCCAGGAUGUUGGCUUAGAAGCAGCCAUCAUUUAAAGAAAGCGUAAUAGCUCACUGGUCGAGUCGGCCUGCGCGGAAGAUGUAACGGGGCUAAACCAUGCACCGAAGCUGCGGCAGCGACGCUUAUGCGUUGUUGGGUAGGGGAGCGUUCUGUAAGCCUGCGAAGGUGUGCUGUGAGGCAUGCUGGAGGUAUCAGAAGUGCGAAUGCUGACAUAAGUAACGAUAAAGCGGGUGAAAAGCCCGCUCGCCGGAAGACCAAGGGUUCCUGUCCAACGUUAAUCGGGGCAGGGUGAGUCGACCCCUAAGGCGAGGCCGAAAGGCGUAGUCGAUGGGAAACAGGUUAAUAUUCCUGUACUUGGUGUUACUGCGAAGGGGGGACGGAGAAGGCUAUGUUGGCCGGGCGACGGUUGUCCCGGUUUAAGCGUGUAGGCUGGUUUUCCAGGCAAAUCCGGAAAAUCAAGGCUGAGGCGUGAUGACGAGGCACUACGGUGCUGAAGCAACAAAUGCCCUGCUUCCAGGAAAAGCCUCUAAGCAUCAGGUAACAUCAAAUCGUACCCCAAACCGACACAGGUGGUCAGGUAGAGAAUACCAAGGCGCUUGAGAGAACUCGGGUGAAGGAACUAGGCAAAAUGGUGCCGUAACUUCGGGAGAAGGCACGCUGAUAUGUAGGUGAAGUCCCUCGCGGAUGGAGCUGAAAUCAGUCGAAGAUACCAGCUGGCUGCAACUGUUUAUUAAAAACACAGCACUGUGCAAACACGAAAGUGGACGUAUACGGUGUGACGCCUGCCCGGUGCCGGAAGGUUAAUUGAUGGGGUUAGCGCAAGCGAAGCUCUUGAUCGAAGCCCCGGUAAACGGCGGCCGUAACUAUAACGGUCCUAAGGUAGCGAAAUUCCUUGUCGGGUAAGUUCCGACCUGCACGAAUGGCGUAAUGAUGGCCAGGCUGUCUCCACCCGAGACUCAGUGAAAUUGAACUCGCUGUGAAGAUGCAGUGUACCCGCGGCAAGACGGAAAGACCCCGUGAACCUUUACUAUAGCUUGACACUGAACAUUGAGCCUUGAUGUGUAGGAUAGGUGGGAGGCUUUGAAGUGUGGACGCCAGUCUGCAUGGAGCCGACCUUGAAAUACCACCCUUUAAUGUUUGAUGUUCUAACGUUGACCCGUAAUCCGGGUUGCGGACAGUGUCUGGUGGGUAGUUUGACUGGGGCGGUCUCCUCCUAAAGAGUAACGGAGGAGCACGAAGGUUGGCUAAUCCUGGUCGGACAUCAGGAGGUUAGUGCAAUGGCAUAAGCCAGCUUGACUGCGAGCGUGACGGCGCGAGCAGGUGCGAAAGCAGGUCAUAGUGAUCCGGUGGUUCUGAAUGGAAGGGCCAUCGCUCAACGGAUAAAAGGUACUCCGGGGAUAACAGGCUGAUACCGCCCAAGAGUUCAUAUCGACGGCGGUGUUUGGCACCUCGAUGUCGGCUCAUCACAUCCUGGGGCUGAAGUAGGUCCCAAGGGUAUGGCUGUUCGCCAUUUAAAGUGGUACGCGAGCUGGGUUUAGAACGUCGUGAGACAGUUCGGUCCCUAUCUGCCGUGGGCGCUGGAGAACUGAGGGGGGCUGCUCCUAGUACGAGAGGACCGGAGUGGACGCAUCACUGGUGUUCGGGUUGUCAUGCCAAUGGCACUGCCCGGUAGCUAAAUGCGGAAGAGAUAAGUGCUGAAAGCAUCUAAGCACGAAACUUGCCCCGAGAUGAGUUCUCCCUGACCCUUUAAGGGUCCUGAAGGAACGUUGAAGACGACGACGUUGAUAGGCCGGGUGUGUAAGCGCAGCGAUGCGUUGAGCUAACCGGUACUAAUGAACCGUGAGGCUUAACCUUACAACGCCGAAGGUGUUU